UCAUUGGUGGUUCAGUGGUAGAAUUCUCACCUUCCACAUGGGAGACCUGGGUUGGAUUCCCAGCCAGUGCA
rnacentral:tRNA from 1 species